rnacentral:rRNA from 1 species
GGAGGCUGCAGUAACGAAUAUUCCGCAAUGCGCGAAAGCGUGACGGAGCAAUGCCGCGUGCAGGAUGAAGCCCCUUGGGGUGUAAACUGCUGUCAGGGCUUAAGAAUUUUGACUAAACCCAAAGGAAGGGCCGGCUAACUUCGUGCCAGCAGCCGCGGUAAUACGAAGGGCCCAAGCGUUAAUCGGAAUCACUGGGCUUAAAGGGUGUGUAGGCGGAUCGGUAAGUACCUUGUGAAAUCCCACAGCUCAACUGUGGAACUGCUCGGUAUACUGUCGGUCUUGAGGCCAGUAGGGGUAGCCGGAACUGUUGGUGGAGCGGUGAAAUGCGUAGAUAUCAACAGGAACACCAAAGGUGAAGACAGGCUACUGGGCUGGACCUGACGCUGAGACACGAAAGCAUGGGUAGCGAACAGGAUUAGAUACCCUGGUAGUCCAUGCCGUAAACGAUGUGCACUAGAUCCCGGAGGCUCUGACGCCAUCGGGGUCGAAGAUAAAUUGAUAAGUGCACCGCCUGGGGAGUACGGUCGCAAGAUUAAAACUCAAAGGAAUUGACGGGGGCUCACACAAGCGGUGGAGCAUGUGGCUUAAUUCGAAGCAACGCGAAGAACCUUAUCCUGGGUUUGACAUGCAUGGAUUAACUCCUGGAAACAGGAGCCACACUCUUUGAGUGGAACAUGCACAGGUGCUGCAUGGCUGUCGUCAGCUCGUGCCGUGAGGUGUUAGGUUAAGUCCUUCAACGAGCGAAACCCUUGUCAUUAGUUGCCAGCGAGUAAAGUCGGGGACUCUAAUGAGACUGCCGGUGUCAAACCGGAGGAAGGUGGGGAUGACGUCAAGUCCUCAUGGCCUUUAUGCCCAGGGCUGCACACGUGCUACAAUGGUGCGUACAGAGCGAAGCAAU